rnacentral:rRNA from 1 species
GAUGAACGCUGGCGGCGUGCUUAACACAUGCAAGUCGAACGAAGCAUUUGCGACAGAUUUUUUCGGAAUGAAGUUGCUUAUGACUGAGUGGCGGACGGGUGAGUAACGCGUGGGUAACGUGCCAUGUACUGGGGGAUAGCAGCUGGAAACGGCUGAUAAUACCGCAUAAGCGCACAAUGUUGCAUGACAUGGUGCGAAAAACUCCGGUGGAAUAAGAUGGACCCGCGACAGAUUAGCUAGUUGGGGAGAUAACAGCCCACCAAGGGGACGAUCAGUAGCCGACGUGAGAGGGUGACCGGCCACAUUGGGACUGAGGCACCGCCCAGAAUCCUACGGGAGUGAGCAGUAGGGAAUAUUGCAAAAGGGAGGAAAGUCUUAAGGGUCGUCGGAGCGUAAAUCAAGAAGUUAUGCGUUAAGUAUAGCUCUAACAGCAGGGGAGAUAGUGACGGGACCUGACUAAGAAGCCCCGGCUAAAUACGUG